rnacentral:rRNA from 1 species
CCUACGGGUGGCAGCAGUGAGGAAUAUUGGUCAAUGGACGAGAGUCUGAACCAGCCAAGUAGCGUGAAGGAUGACUGCCCUAGGGGUUGUAAACUUCUUUUAUAUGGGAAUAAAAUGUUCCACGUGUGGGAUUUUGUAUGUACCAUAUGAAUAAGGAUCGGCUAACUCCGUGCCAGCAGCCGCGGUAAUACGGAGGAUCCGAGCGUUAGCCGGAUUUAUUGGGUUUAAAGGGAGCGUGGGUGGAUUGUUAAGUCAGUUGUGAAAGUUUGCGGCUCAACCGUAAAAUUGCAGUUGAAACUGGCAGUCUUGAGUACAGUAGAGGUGGGCGGAAUUCGUGGUGUAGCGGUGAAAUGCUUAGAUAUCACGAAGAACUCCGAUUGCGAAGGCAGUUCACUGGACUGCAACUGACACUGAGGCUCGAAAGUGUGGGUAUCAAACAGGAUUAGAUACCCGAGUAGUC